CUACUAUCCAGCGAAACCACAGC
rnacentral:snRNA from 1 species